rnacentral:lncRNA from 1 species
UUCAAUAAGGAAGGAAAAAACCUUGCUGGGAUGGGAAGGCUUCCUUGGGGUAGAAAGCCAUUGGGCUCAGAAAUGAAAGAGAUGGGAAAUGUUCUCUGGGUUUGAAAGCAUUGGGAAGCAAAAGCAUUGGGAUGGGCAAUCGCUCCUGGGAUGGGAAAGUACUGGGACGGGAAAUCUUGAAUGGGGUGGGUAACAUUUAUUGAAGUAGGAAAACCAUGAGAAAGUCAUCCAAGAGAGGGGAAUUCUUUGGGACGAGAUCUCUUUGGAUGAACAAACGCUUUGUGUUGAUGGGAAAUCUUUUGUAUGGGAAUCUGUUAUCAUGUGAACUUGUCAGGAUGGGAAAUGACCAUGAGGAUGAAAGCUGGUACUGGGGUGGGAAAUGCUUAGGACGGGGAAGAGGCGGUGUGGAAGCGUCGUGGGCAUGGCAAGUGCUGCGUGGGAGGGCAAGCCUGCUGGGGAUGGCCAAGUCUUGUGCUGGGCAGCCUGCUUGGGUCCAAAGCCUGCAGUCCUCCCCAAGAUGUUGUCGAGGGGCUGGUCAGCCGUUGGGACGGAACCCCCGUUGCCCGGGUUCCCCAAGCAACCGCCCCACUCUCCAGCCACCAUGGCAGGUCCAGCAGCCGGCUCCCGCUCCUCCCAGGGCUGCGGCCGUGCUGGCGAGCCCAGUGCCCCAGAGCUCAGCCCAGCGCCCUUUUUCCCACAGAGGGUUUCCCCAGACGGCUUCUGCGGGUUGCGCAGACGCAAAACUCCUCCUUCGUCGUCGCAGCCGUGCCGUCAACGGUGGCUGCCUGGCUGCUGCCCUCCCUCCCCGGAGCGACGGCGGUGCCCUUGCAGCCCCCGCAUGUACCCACCCUCCCCUCCGCGCUGCCCCAGGCCACUGUCUGGCACGUGGUGCUGGGGGUCCAGGGGCAGGUGCUGCAGCUCCCCGCCGGGGUGCAGCUGCCACCUGGGGGCACAUCCCAGCCGAGGGCCACCACCUGCAGCUUAGGCAGCUCCCCGCCGUGGGGCAAAACCUGCAGCUGGUGCAGCUCCCAACAAUGGGGCACCAGCUGCAGCUGGUGCAGCUCCCCGCCGUGGGGCAGCUCCCCCACACCGCUCCUCCCUGUGCCCCCGUCCAUCAGUGGGGACAGCCCAUGGUGACAGGGACACUGGUGCCCCACCAUGCGCUGGGGCUGGGGCCCAGGGCCGUGCUCCAUGGGGAGCUCCUGCACCCCGCAGGCACCUGCCUGUUGCAGGCCCCCGCCCAGCGCAACCCCCCGCCACCCCUCGUCCCGGGACCUCCGCUGCAGAGGCAGGUGCUCCCCAUGCCCCGCACCCUGAGCAGCAGCCUUGGGCAGCUGCCAGAGCCCUGCUUGCACGCCGUAAGGCUCAGCGAGGACCAGGGGCCCCCGCUGCCCGGCCCCACUCCCCCUGAGCCUGCCCAGGCUCCAAGGACUGCCAGCACCCAGACGGCGACACCCGACGCGGUGACAGCCCCGCAGGUGCCUGAGGAGCCCCCGCAGCUGCCCGAGCUGGGCCCUGAUGCCUUGGCCGAGGCCUUUCCAGAGCUGGCAGGGGACAGCCAGCAGCUGCAGCACAUGCAGGACGAGCUCCUGGCCGACCUGGACAUCCCCAUCCCCGGCAUGGAGGAGCUGCUCAGCUGGCUCGAUGCCGUGGAGCCCCAGGACGCCUUCGCCGAUUUGCCCAGCAGUCCUGCCCUCAGCCGCUUCCACUCCCAGCUGCCUGACCUCUGCGAGGACAUUGAGCAGCCGAGCACGCAGGGACUGGAAGCCACAGGAGCCCUCGGUGAGGUCCCCUCAACCCCUGGGGUGCGCCCCGAGAAGCUUGAGGGUGGGCUGUCGCUGCAGUCCCCCUUCAUGACAGCAGUGAGCCCCCCGCUCAGCCCUGCAGCCAGUCCCCUGUUCAGUGCGCUUAGGAGCCCCCUACCCAGUCCACCCCUGAGUCCCCCCAGGAGCCUCCCUGACACCCAGGUCCUCAGUGCCCUUAGUAGACCCCUGCCCCAACCCCCCCAGCAUUCUCUCAAGACCUGCCCCAACACCAAGGUCCCCAGUGCCCUUAGUAGACCCCAGCCCAAAUCCCCCCCGAGCUCCCCCAAGAAACGCCCAAACCCCAAGGGCCGCAGUGACCAUAGGAGACCCCUGCCCAAAUGCCCCCUGGGUCCCCUCAAGAGCCCCCUGGCUGCCCCUGCGUCCACCGGCACCAAGCGGGGGGCCAAGCGCCCUGCACCCAGCAGCACCCCUGGGACAGCGCAGAGCUGCCAGCACAGGAGGCCGACGAUAGAGAACCCCCCCGGCAAGGAGAGGAAGAUGCUGCUGGGCCAGGCUGGCCAAGGCCGCAAGAGACCGUACCAGGGGAAGACGGGUGGCAGCAGCACGGUGGCUGGCAGCAGCAGGGAAGCAGGCAGCAGCGGGCAGCAGCCGGCGACCAACAGCACCACGGCACCCAGCAAGAGAGCGCGAAGCCCAGGGGCUGCAGGGGAGCAAGGAGCAGCGUCACCACCUCCCCGCAGAGCGCGGCUGCUGCCGGAGACUCCGAGUGGGGAGCCCCAUGCCGUACGGCCCCAGGACAGGCUCUGUCCCCAGGCCAUCGGGGCCAAGAUGCUGCAGCGCCAGCAGCCGGGGACAAAGACCCCCAGCGAGACUUUGCAGCCGCUGGGGGCCAGGGCCAAGGCGCUGGGGCCAGUGCACCAGCCGUCCUGUGUGCAGCCGCAGCCCAC